AGGCUUUGUGACCAGGGAGAUUAGCGCUGUUUUCCCAAGACAGGUUUAUAUGUGAUUAUGAUCUUCAGGCUUUGCCUAUCCAGGUUGGCUGGCCGGUGCUGACGGGACGGAGCUGAGGCUAGCGAUAAAUUCCUAUGUUAGACUUCCGCUGUAGCAAUUACUCAUAUCAGUCUUUUGUUUUCCCAACUUAAGAUCUUCAUGUUAAAUUUCAAAUGAUAUACCUGACCGAGCUUA